rnacentral:rRNA from 1 species
UACAGAGGUCCCAAGCGUUGUUCGGAUUCAUUGGGCGUAAAGGGUGCGUAGGUGGCGGGGUAAGUUGGAUGUGAAAUCCUGGGGCUCAACCCUAGAACUGCAUUCAAUACUGCCUUGCUGGAGUACUGGAGAGGAGAUUGGAAUUUACGGUGUAGCAGUGAAAUGCGUAGAUAUCGUAAGGAAGACCGGUGGCGAAGGCGGAUCUCUGGACAGUUACUGACACUGAGGCGCGAAGGCCAGGGGAGCAAACGGG